rnacentral:lncRNA from 1 species
GUUGGGAGUGAGGGCAGAGUUUGAAAGAGACCCACAGCGCCCCCACAAUCCUGGGCCUGGGACCAUGCCCACAGCAGGGGUGCUGCAUAGUUCCUGUGGUUCUACUUCCUGGACUCCCUCCCUUUCACCUCCCGCAGAGAUCUGCUACCUGGGCCUGCAGUUACCUGCUUCAGGCGAAUUCUUUCUAGGGAACGUUCAUGACUUGUGCUCUGAAUUAGCUUUACUAUUCAGAAGACCUUGGUUUGAAUCCAUGCUCUACCAUUUGCUGUCUUGGGAAAAUUGCUUAAUUUGGACACAAAAUGCUCCUCCCACCCUUGAUGUCUGAAAUUUCUGAGCAGAGUUUGAGAAGACCCACCCUCUUCCUGGCCUUCGCACCUCACAGGUCACUUUGGCAACUUUACCCGUGCCAAUUGCUUGCUUUCUGUCAAUCUAAUCACCUGAGGUGUGAAAGUGACUGACUCCAGCCUCCUCUAUCAAUCAUCCUCCUUUGGAGGAAGCUAACUUCAGAAUCCAUCAAGGUUCAUGAAUAAUUUAGCAUCCAAGAGAAAUUCUAAGAGUUGGACCUUCCCAAGGGUUUUAGAACUCCACUGCUAAUAGUUUGAUUUUUGGAGAAAAUGUCAAUAGAGGACCUAUGUAUGUUUUAGAAGUUGAGUACUAAAGGUUUAACAAAGCUAUAAUAUGGGUUAUGAGCAUCACACCCUGAAGAGAAUUUCCAUCAAAUCUGGGAGCAGGAGUCAGAUGUGAAAUGGACAUGAACAAAAGGGCAUAUUUGUUAAGUGUCCACAGUGUAAGCUUCACUGGAUCAAGGAAUUGAUAUAGAACUUUUCUGUUAACCUUCUAACAAUUUUACAAAGUGGCCAUUUCUUGUUUAUCCCUGUUUUAUAGAUGAGGAAAAUGACAUUGUUUGGGCUUCACUUAACAUAUAGAGGUGAUAUAGCAUGAUGCAUAGUAGGAGGCUAUAGAGCCUACUGAGCCUGGGUUCACAUCAUAGCUCCACUGCCUUCUAGCUAUGUGACACUGAAUGAAUUAUUGAACCUCUCUGAUUCUCAGUCGUGUCAUCUACAACAUGGAGAAAGCAAUGCUUACCUCAUAAAUUUGCUUGAAGAUUAAAAUGACAUAACAAACCUAAAAUCCUUAGCAGUGUUUUUAGCACAUGGUAAGCACUCAAGAAGUGCUGUCUAUUUUUAUUUUUACUAUUAUGGAUGUUAUUGCCACAAAUUGUGGGCUAUAUACAUGCUUUCAUGAAAUCUAAAUCCUUCUGGAUUCAAAAUGGGAAGAAAUAGAAUCAUAACCAUAUCUAAACGAAAGCUGCUCACAUUCUUUCC